rnacentral:ncRNA from 1 species
GCCUAUCAUUGUGAAGCAGACUUCCCCAAGCGCUGGAUCGUUCACCCAGUAAUAGGGAACAUGAGCUGGGUUUAGACCAUUGUGAGACAGGUUAGUUUUACCCUACUGAUGAUAUGUUGUCACACUAGUAAUCCUGCUCAGUACAAGAGGAAGUGCAGGUUCAGAGCCCUGGUGCGUGCGCUUGGCUGAGGAGCCAGUGGUGCAGGGCUCCCACCUGCGGGCUUCUGACUGAACGCCUCUAAGUCAGAAUCCCGCCUAGAGAUAGGGACACCGCAGCGCCGCUGGCGCCUCAGU